rnacentral:rRNA from 1 species
CAGCCGCCGCGGUAAAACGUAGGGAGCAAGCGUUGUUCGGAUUUACUGGGCGUAAAGGGCGCGUAGGCGGCGCGGUAAGUCACGUGUGAAAUCUCUGAGCUUAACUCAGAACGGCCAAGUGAUACUGCUGUGCUAGAGUGCGGAAGAGGCAACCGGAAUUCUUGGUGUAGCGGUGAAAUGCGUAGAUAUCAAGAGGAACACCUGAGGCGAAGGCGGGUUGCUGGGCCGACACUGACGCUGAUGCGCGAAAGCCAGGGGAGCAAACGGGAUUAGAGACCCCAGUAGUCCCUGUCUCUUAUAC